UACGGAAGGUGCAAGCGUUGUCCGGAUUUACUGGGUGUAAAGGGCGCGUAGGCGGAGUGGUAUGUCGGAAGUGAAAUCGUGCGGCUUAACCGUAUCAAGUGCUUCCGAAACUGCCACCCUUGAGUACCAGAGAGGGAGAUGGAAUUCCCGGUGUAGCGGUGGAAUGCGUAGAUAUCGGGAGGAACACCCGUGGCGAAGGCGGUCUCCUGGCUGGUUACUGACGCUGAAGCGCGAAAGUGUGGGGAGCAAACAGGAUUAGAUACCCCCGUA
rnacentral:rRNA from 1 species